GUCUCUUGGAGACAGGUCUGCCUUAGUAUCCCUGCCACACUCAAUUGCUGAUUGUCUGGAGGCAGCCAACAGGAAGAGUGGCCUCUACAUAAAUAUGGGUGCAAGCAGCUGGAGGCCAUGAUCAUCUGAGCUCCCUCUCCAGGAGACAUAUUCUUAUGGCCACCACAUCUACCCAAUCCAGAUGUCUUUUGCUUGGACAUCCACAUCAGGCCCAGCAUCUCAGGAUUGUACCCAAGUGGCUCUCGCACCAGUAUCAGGGCCAAUGGCAGGGUCAGCAGAAAAUAGCAGAGGGGCUUGAAAACAGAUGGGAACAUCUGGAAAAGUCAAUUUGGAGUGUAGCUUCUGAGUGAAAUAUUGUUACUGCAUUUCUGAGAGAGGAGAGCUGAGAUUUGAAUCCGCCUCAGACUGUGCUGGAAACAGAAUACAGAGCCCAUCACAGGAUGUCCUGAACUCUGUAGCCUCGUUUCUGAAAGUAUCAUUAAACAUGUGGGAACCAAAU
rnacentral:lncRNA from 1 species